AUUGAACGCUGGCGGCAGGCUUAACACAUGCAAGUCGAGCGGAGCGAGGGUGCUUGCACCUUAGCUUAGCGGCGGACGGGUGAGUAAUGCUUAGGAAUCUGCCUAUUAGUGGGGGACAACAUUCCGAAAGGAAUGCUAAUACCGCAUACGCCCUACGGGGGAAAGCAGGGGAUCUUCGGACCUUGCGCUAGUAGAUGAGCCUAAGUCGGAUUAGCUAGUUGGUGGGGUAAAGGCCUACCAAGGCGACGAUCUGUAGCGGGUCUGAGAGGAUGAUCCGCCACACUGGGACUGAGACACGGCCCAGACUCCUACGGGAGGCAGCAGUGGGGAAUAUUGGACAAUGGGCGGAAGCCUGAUCCAGCCAUGCCGCGUGUGUGAAGAAGGCCUUUUGGUUGUAAAGCACUUUAAGCGAGGAGGAGGCUACUGGUACUAAUACUACUGGAUAGUGGACGUUACUCGCAGAAUAAGCACCGGCUAACUCUGUGCCAGCCGCCGCCGUAAUAC
rnacentral:rRNA from 1 species